rnacentral:rRNA from 1 species
GAGGACCGAACCGACUUACGUUGAAAAGUGAGCGGAUGAACUGAGGGUAGCGGAGAAAUUCCAAUCGAACUUGGAGAUAGCUGGUUCUCUCCGAAAUAGCUUUAGGGCUAGCCUCAAGUGAUGAUUAUUGGAGGUAGAGCACUGUUUGGACGAGGGGCCCCUCUCGGGUUACCGAAUUCAGACAAACUCCGAAUGCCAAUCAAUUUAACUUGGGAGUCAGAACAUGGGUGAUAAGGUCCGUGUUCGAAAGGGAAACAGCCCAGACCACCAGCUAAGGUCCCAAAAUAUAUGUUAAGUGGAAAAGGAUGUGGCGUUGCCCAGACAACUAGGAUGUUGGCUUAGAAGCAGCCAUCAUUUAAAGAGUGCGUAAUAGCUCACUAGUCGAGUGACACUGCGCCGAAAAUGUACCGGGGCUAAACAUAUUACCGAAGCUGUGGAUUGUCCUUCGGACAAUGGUAGGAGAGCGUUCUAAGGGCGUUGAAGCAUGAUCGCAAGGACAUGUGGAGCGCUUAGAAGUGAGAAUGCCGGUGUGAGUAGCGAAAGACGGGUGAGAAUCCCGUCCACCGAUUGACUAAGGUUUCCAGAGGAAGGCUCGUCCGCUCUGGGUUAGUCGGGUCCUAAGCUGAGGCCGACAGGCGUAGGCGAUGGAUAACAGGUUGAUAUUCCUGUACCACCUAGUAUCGUUUUAAUCGAUGGGGGGACGCAGUAGGAUAGGCGAAGCGUGCUGUUGGAGUGCACGUCCAAGCAGUAAGG